CAUUAAGUGGCUGAAAAUUCAAAGCAUUGGUCUCUUAAACCAAAAUAUAGUAAUUAGUAACUACUCUUAAUGG
rnacentral:tRNA from 1 species